CCUCAGUAACGGCGAGUGAAGCGGUAACAGCUCAAAUUUGAAAUCUGGCCUCACGGUCCGAGUUGUAAUUUGUAGAGGAUGCUUCGAGCAUGGUCUGGCCUAAGUUCCUUGGAACAGGACGUCAUAGAGGGUGAGAAUCCCGUAUGCGGCCAGGUGCCUACGCUCAUGUGAAGCUCCUUCGACGAGUCGAGUUGUUUGGGAAUGCAGCUCAAAAUGGGUGGUAAAUUUCAUCUAAAGCUAAAUAUUGGCCAGAGACCGAUAGCGCACAAGUAGAGUGAUCGAAAGAUGAAAAGCACUUUGGAAAGAGAGUUAAACAGUACGUGAAAUUGUUGAAAGGGAAGCGCUUGCAACCAGACUUGCGCGCGGCCGAUCAUCCGGUGUUCUCACCGGUGCACUCGGCCGUGCUCAGGCCAGCAUCGGUUUUGGCGGCUGGAUAAAGGCCCUAGGAAUGUGGCUCCUCUCGGGGAGUGUUAUAGCCUAGGGUGCAAUGCAGCCUGCUGGGACCGAGGACCGCGCUUCGGCUAGGAUGCUGGCGUAAUGGUUGUAAGCGGCCCGUCUUGAAACACGGACCAAGGAGUCUAACAUCUAUGCGAGUGUUUGGGUGUCAAACCCAUACGCGUAAUGAAAGUGAACGGAGGUGAGAACCCUUAAGGGUGCAUCAUCGACCGAUCCUGAUGUCUUCGGAAGGAUUUGAGUAAGAGCAUAGCUGUUGGGACCCGAAAGAUGGUGAACUAUGCCUGAAUAGGGUGAAGCCAGAGGAAACUCUGGUGGAGGCUCGCAGCGGUUCUGACGUGCAAAUCGAUCG
rnacentral:rRNA from 1 species